rnacentral:rRNA from 1 species
AUUGAACGCUGGCGGCAGGCCUAACACAUGCAAGUCGAGCGGAUGAGAAGAGCUUGCUCUUCGAUUCAGCGGCGGACGGGUGAGUAAUGCCUAGGAAUCUGCCUGGUAGUGGGGGACAACGUUUCGAAAGGAGCGCUAAUACCGCAUACGUCCUACGGGAGAAAGCAGGGGACCUUCGGGCCUUGCGCUAUCAGAUGAGCCUAGGUCGGAUUAGCUAGUUGGUGAGGUAAUGGCUCACCAAGGCGACGAUCCGUAACUGGUCUGAGAGGAUGAUCAGUCACAAUGGAACUGAGACACGGUCCGGACUCCUACGGGAGGCAGCAGUGGGGAAUAUUGGACAAUGGGCGAGAGCCUGAUCCAGCCAUGCCGCGUGUGUGAAGAAGGUCUUCGGAUUGUAAAGCACUUUAAGUUGGGAGGAAGGGCAGUAAGUUAAUACCUUGCUGUUUUGACGUUACCGACAGAAUAAGCACCGGCUAACUCUGUGCCAGCCGCCGCGGUAAGAC